GGGCGAGCGCCGCCAGUGCGCCUGCUCCGCGCCGGCAGGGAGCGCGGGCAGGAGGCUGGAGGCGUUCCCC
ensembl:miRNA